CUAUGGAGCCAGCCGGAGCGGGUGGGAGGCUUGGGUUGCUGGGGGCGACCCAAGCUUCCCACCUGCCCUGGCCAGCUGCUGAA
rnacentral:pre_miRNA from 1 species